rnacentral:rRNA from 1 species
GUCGAACGAACCUUCGGGUUAGUGGCGGACGGGUGAGUAAUGCUUAGGAAUCUGCCUAUUAGUGGGGGACAACAUCUCGAAAGGGAUGCUAAUACCGCAUACGUCCUACGGGAGAAAGCAGGGGACCUUCGGGCCUUGCGCUAAUAGAUGAGCCUAAGUCGGAUUAGCUAGUUGGUGGGGUAAAGGCCUACCAAGGCGACGAUCUGUAGCGGGUCUGAGAGGAUGAUCCGCCACACUGGGACUGAGACACGGCCCAGACUCCUACGGGAGGCAGCAGUGGGGAAUAUUGGACAAUGGGGGGAACCCUGAUCCAGCCAUGCCGCGUGUGUGAAGAAGGCCUUUUGGUUGUAAAGCACUUUAAGCGAGGAGGAGGCUACCGAGAUUAAUACUCUUGGAUAGUGGACGUUACUCGCAGAAUAAGCACCGGCUAACUCUGUGCCAGCAGCCGCGGUAAUACAGAGGGUGCAAGCGUUAAUCGGAUUUACUGGGCGUAAAGCGCGCGUAGGUGGCCAAUUAAGUCAAAUGUGAAAUCCCCGAGCUUAACUUGGGAAUUGCAUUCGAUACUGGUUGGCUAGAGUAUGGGAGAGGAUGGUAGAAUUCCAGGUGUAGCGGUGAAAUGCGUAGAGAUCUGGAGGAAUACCGAUGGCGAAGGCAGCCAUCUGGCCUAAUACUGACACUGAGGUGCGAAAGCAUGGGGAGCAAACAGGAUUAGAUACCCUGG